GCGCAAGCCUGAUGCAGCGACGCCGCGUGAGGGAUGACGGCCUUCGGGUUGUAAACCUCUUUCAGCAGGGAAGAAGCGCAAGUGACGGUACCUGCAGAAGAAGCGCCGGCUAACUACGUGCCAGCAGCCGCGGUAAUACGUAGGGCGCGAGCGUUGUCCGGAAUUAUUGGGCGUAAAGAGCUCGUAGGCGGCUUGUCGCGUCGGUUGUGAAAGCCCGGGGCUUAACCCCGGGUCUGCAGUCGAUACGGGCAGGCUAGAGUUCGGUAGGGGAGAUCGGAAUUCCUGGUGUAGCGGUGAAAUGCGCAGAUAUCAGGAGGAACACCGGUGGCGAAGGCGGAUCUCUGGGCCGAUACUGACGCUGAGGAGCGAAAGCGUGGGGAGCGAACAGGAUUAGAUACCCUGGUAGUCCACGCCGUAAACGGUGGGCACUAGGUGUGGGCGACAUUCCACGUCGUCCGUGCCGCAGCUAACGCAUUAAGUGCCCCGCCUGGGGAGUACGGCCGCAAGGCUAAAACUCA
rnacentral:rRNA from 1 species